UGUUCAUUUGCCAUGACUGAAAACUUUGUGUGUGUGCUUCCUUGCUCCAAGACACACAUACAGCAAGGGGGAGGGGACAGCCGUCACCUGGGUUCUGCCCCAGACCUCCAAAGGAGCAGUUCUCCUGAGUCCUCCGGAAGGAAAAGGGGGCUGGUCCUGGUCCCCCAGCCGGCUAGCCAGCACUGCUGACGGCUAACAAAGGAAGGAGCCCUCCGCCCAAGGCCUAAGAAGAGGGGACACAUGCAGCAUCCAGCCUUCCCACCAAGGACCACCAGGACAGUGGCCUCAAGUGGCCGAGCUGGUCGGUGCCGACUUGGCCGGAAGCCUGUAAGCUGCUUACCAACUCGGCCAAAAGCCUUUUUUUUUUUUUUUAAUGACGAUGGCGGCUCGACGUCGCUCUUUGAUCCUUGGAUGUCGGCUCUUCCUAUCAUUGUGAAGCAGAAUUCACCAGGCGCUGGAUUAUUCUCCCACUAAUAGGGAACGUGAGCUGGGAUUAGACCGUCGUGAGACAGGUUAGUUUUACUCUGCUGAUGUUGUGUUGUUGCAAUAGUCAUCCUGAGCUGAUGGACAACACAGAUCAUGGAGACUCUUUUACAAAGUUGCACUGAGAGAGGAAGCAGGCCUCACCCCCUCUCAAGCUCUCUGUGGGGAACAAAUCCCUCUGAUCCGCCAUUUUAACUGUAGUCUUCAGCCGGCCGCCAUUUUGAUCUGUAGUUCCAUCCCUCGAUCCUCCAUCCCAUCUCUCAAACCAUCUCUCUCCCUCACACACACACACAUGCACACGCACAUUCUUGCAAACACGACUUGUACAGGCAUCCAGAUAGAAUUGUGUCAGGAUCCUGUUCAGGCAGGCAGCAGGCAGCCCCAGUCUCCCUGGGUCCUGCUGAUUGCUGAUGACAUUCACCUGGGACUGCCUGCCAAACUCUCCCUGCCACCUGCUCUGUGCCGAUCGUUACCCUUCCCAGACUCCCUUGCUGCUGCAGAGGGAUUCGGCUGCUCUGCCAAGCCGAGAGGAGGUUUUGGUCACGUCUUGCCUUGUCUUAUCUUGUCUCGCCACACCAUGACCUCGCCACACCAUGACCUCGCCACACCAUGACCUCGCCACACCAUGACCUCGUUACACCAUGACCUCGCCACACCAUGACCUCGCCACGCCAUGACCUCGUCACACCAUGACCUCGCCACACCAUGACCUCGCCACGCCAUGACCUCGUUACACCACGACCUCGCCACGAAAUGACCUCGCCACACCACGCCACGACCUCACCUCGAUCCAACCUGUGACGCUGCUGCCAGGCUGCAGUCCUCCUGGUUUUCCUGCACCGAAUAAACCUGCUCGACCGGUAAUCCUGCUUCUGUCUCUCUGUGUUGGGUCUAACUGCACACCGACCGUGACAGAAUUGUGUGUUUGGUUUUGCUUUAUUAUUAAUAAACAUACUUUUUGGGAUCCUUUGUGUCAUUGAUGUUUCACAGUUAUGAAUGGAAUGUCGAUCUCUUCUGUCCAAGAACUCCAGAAUCCUUCAGGUUUUACGGGUAAAAUUUGGUAAUUGCUAAUAAUGUCAUUAUUAAUCCAAAUUCCAAAUUAAUAGUUUAACCAAGUUAUUGAGACUGAUUACAACAGAUUGGUUCUUUUCCUAUUAAAGGCAGGUGUUGCCCCGAGGUUUUCUGAUGAACAUCAGAUCCCAAAUUCUUUAGUUACCGGUGAUAAUCAUUAAUUUUUACUGAUCGCCAAAUUUAUUAGCUUGACAUUCCAACAUUAAUCGUGCGGCCCAUGUGAGGCAAUAGAACAUGACUGAAAAUCCCAGAACAUACAUAUAUAUAGUGGAGUCUCUGAGGAGAGGACACCGUAAAAGCCAACAUCCUUUUCUAAAUGGACGAUUCAUUGGACUCAGACAGGUUUUAAAGACAGCUGGACAACAGACUGGUGUUCUCAGUAAAUUUAAAGCUGAGCCACACUGAAAUGGACAAAAUGCUUGAAAUUUCAGUGAUCAUCUUCCUGAUGAUCUCCCAACAUCUUGGAUUUCUCUUUCUCUUCUCUGAGACUGAAACUCCGCCUCAGGAGCUGUUUUCUAACAGCUGUGUUUUCAGUGUCUCCAAGCUCUGCUGUUGUGGAACUGAACUUUGGUGUUUUCACUUGACUCUUUCUUUUCAUGUAAAACAGAGUUUUACACUGAGACUCCUGAUGAAUCUUUCAGUUACACUUGGGAAUUUGUCACUUGUAACUUUGUCAUGUGCUCUCCUGCAUUUUACCAUUCACUGACUCCAUGGUCAAAAACUGCUCCAUGGACACCCUUGGCUCAAUUGGGAGAGUAGCCUUCUUUUGUUCUCAAGUUUAUAGGUUUGAUUCCCAUUUUCCACUGUCCAUGUGCCAAAGCAUCCUGGAGCAAAUCACUGAAUCUCCCAGUGGAAGAGCACUGCGUCUUGCAUGUGGCAGCCAUUGUUUAGGGCAGUGGUGGCCUGGAGGCCAGAGAAGGGGACCGGUAAUGAAGAGUUCCCAGGUUCAAUUUCCACUGUGGGUCUCUGAGCAAGGCAUCAGUACUGUGAUGUGGCAACACCUGCGUGUUCUAGAAACAGGAUUGAUCAAUGUGGUAAGAAAAGAAACUGUGCAGUAAAAUAAUGUUUUAUGUCUUUCGAUAAAUAAAAAUGCAUCACUGUUUAUUCAGAAGGGAUUCCUACCAGAUGAAUUUCAAGGCCUUGAUGUUGGUAUUUAGUAAUAUGAUGUGUUUUGUAACUGUCAUUAGAGGUUAGUUUGAAAAGAACAUCUCUCAAAUCCUUUGAAUCACUAAUUUUUCUGUUGGUUUGGAGCCAAUCUUCAUGACGAAAACAAGUUGUUGCAGUGAAGCUUUGGUAAGAAGUCUAUCAAACACUCUGGGUCCUGGAUAAAAGCCUGAGUCCUCCGUACACCGUCACACACAAAACUGUGCCUUUUUUAAUUUAAUACGUAUAUUGCAAAUGCAUCAUGAAAUGUAAUCAUUUUGAUAAUGAUCAAAGAUAGGUGUGACUUUUUGAAAUAAAGACUCUGAUAUACAUCAGAUAACCUCGGGGCACCACCCUUGUGAAUGAGAAAUGAAUGCCAGUUCAUUGAUAUUUGUCUCAUAAAAUACACUAAACUAUUACUUUGGACUUCAGAUCAAUCAUUAAAUUAAUAACAAUCACCAAAGUUAAAAACCUGAAGAGUUUCAGACCUCCAGGAAUAGAAUAGUUUCAUUCAUCUUCUUGUAUAUAAUAACAAUAAGAACAACAGGCUUGAUUCCAAGAAAUGAUAUUUAUUCACUGACGAAGCAAAGCAAAACACACUGAUCCUGUCGUCUCCUGAGGAGCCGUCCAUUUGAAAGAGCCGUUCAAAAGACUGGCUCCUUGACAAACGUCACGUGACUCUAUUAGAGACCUCAGCCUCAUUAGUGUGGACUCAAUCUGUUAUUUUCUGACAACUGACAUGGUUACUGUCAGUUAUGAGUUUUCAUCUGGUUCUUUAAUUUGUUUAGUGACAGAUUCAGGAGAUGAUUUUCUGAUACACAUUACAUUGUGGCUUCCCUUGCAGGUUGUCCCCAGAGAAGAGCUUCAAAAUGCUGCGACGUGUCCUUUAACUGAGCAUUUUAUGGUGUGUGUGUGUGUGUGUGUGUGUGUGUGUGUGUGUGUGUGUGUGUGUGUGUGUGUGUGUGUGUGUGUGUGCCUUUGCUAAAACCGGCAAAUCCAAUAAAAGCAGUCAAUACAGUGUUUCAAAUUAACUGGUUUCCUUGUUACCUGGUGACUGACUUCCUUUAGCACUUCCUGCUGCUGCUGCUUGUAGCAGCAGAUGUUGAAAUCAGAAUCGUAAAAGGUCCGACAACUUUUUGUCUGGUUUUUAACAUCUAUCAGCAACAAGGGACGUGAAAGAAACCGGGUCGCCAUUUCAUAGGGAAACCAGUUCUUCCAUAACACCAGCUCCUCUCUGGUUUCUGGACACUCCUCGUUGGCCAGUUAGCUGCUGCGUUCAGGUGACUGGAGUGUGCUGCGGAAAACUGAAACUCGGUCGUUCACAUGAAAGCAGCGGAGACAGCUGGACUCACAAGGCACACAGGAGAUCAUUGAGGGAAGUGUGGACAGGAAAGGAACGGCUCUCAGACAGCUGUGAACCGGCUCUCGUCGUUCACUUAAAAGAGCCGUUCAAACAACCAACUCGUUUAUUGAACGUCACAGCACUACUGAAAAUGAAACGUGAUUUCAAAGAUUUCUUCAGCUGAUCACUCCAUCAAGUGCCUUAAAAAAAAGACAGUGGUUCAUGAGGCCUCAAGUGUCCAUCACUAUUAGUUUGUUCAAGACUCAAACACCCUAAAAAUCGUUGUUAUUAUGAAAUAUUAGAACAUCACUGCACUGUUUACCCAACAACUCCUGCACCAUACAGAAGCCCACGUGGCAAUGAUGAAGGAACUCAUGGUGUCCAACCAAGUGCUGCUCCUGGAAUUGGGACUCCAGAGAUCCAUCCAUCUUGAUACAGUCAAAUAUGUGUCUACAUACAUGCUCGACUGUUGUUUGUCAACGAGCAGUUUUGCUUGUUCCAGAGCCUGAAACCGGAAGCACAAAGAACUGGCACUGACACCCCUUUCCCACUGCAACUAGCGGGUCGACCCGUGUCUUCGACCCGCUAACGAUCAGCUUUUUUUUUUAUUAGACUCCUUUCCCACUGCAUGCAGACCCGGGUCAAGCCACCUGCUGGCGAGCCGCAUCGCUGCAUUUUCCUGCACUGAUAGGAGCCCCAGGUUGAUGACAUCAUCAGCGCGACGGAGCAAAACGAAAGUAAACAAUGCAGCGGAACACAGUCCAGCUCUCUGGUCUCGCUAUCUUGCCACUGCUGGGUCAUCUUGAUGAAGGAAAUCUCACGCUUGGUCCAGAAACAACAACAUAGCCACGCUACGUCGACAUCAUCAUGUAAGUUCCCGGAUGUGUCCCUCCCACUAAAAGCCGAUGCAAACUGACCCGGCAAAUUACCGGGUCGAUUGCAGGGUCGAACGACCCGGGUCAAAAUCCAGGGUAAACCCUUUCCCACUGCCAUGAGGAGCCGAUAGUUUGCGGGUUUAAACGGGUUUUUUGGCCAGUGGGAAAGGGGUAUAAGUUAGGGUCUGUUUCCCCACUAGGCCUGGAAUCACACAGGUGGAACAGGGUCAUGUGUGGUAAAAUGGAUAGAGGAAGGGAAGAAGGGAUGUAUGGAUGGAUGGAUGAUAUUAAUCCAACUGGUCUGAUCCUCAUUGUCUUCCAGGAGCCACCUCCACUCAGGAACCAACAACUGGAACUCCACCAUCCACCGCCACAGAGGAAUAUCAAACUACACUCAUGCGGGGUCAACGUGACUUCCUCAACCAUCGUCCACCCAAUAAGGUGUAGCUGAUGUCUGAUGUAACAUCCAUCAGCAGUGAUGGCGUCCUCAUGACCAUUAAAGGUACAGAUGGAGACGUCUUCUGGGACUAAACAUCUCCAGAUCACCUUCACCAUGGGUCACUGCUUCAUCUGAAAUCAUCUUCUCAAUUAAUACCAUCUUCUUAAGUUAGAAUUAUAUUCUUAAUUAAAAGACAUCAAUGAG